AGAGGGGAAGGGUGCAUAAGGAGAGCACUGAGGCAGUUAGGAGCCUCUCCCGGGAAGAUUGGGGGUAUCUGGUUUCCUGGUUACCAUUCAGCCUCUCCUGCUGUCUCCUUCUGAUCCCAAAGACUAGCCCUUUCCUAGGAGAGUGUGUUUUGUUUUGUUUUUCCCCGUCCCCUUGAUUCUAAUUCUGCUCUGGUGAGCUCGGCAGCAGUUCCAGCCUUCUGGCAUGAGUCAGGGAGGCAGUAUUUGGGGCGGGGAUGGGGAGGGUAGCAGCAGCCUCCAUCAUCCUUCCCUGAAAGCUCUCUAAUAAGAUGAAGGAUGCUCAGGAGCCCCGUCAUCUGCCGGUGUUUUCUUGGCCGUCCAUUCAUUUGUGCAGCUCGCACUUAUUACUGCAUCCAAUUGCAGACUUGAGCCUUUGAAAGUUGGGAUGCUUCGGUUUCUUUCCUUGGCUCCCCCUCCUCCCAUUUUCAAUUCACAACGUUCCCCACAAACGCCACCAUUUCCAUGUGAGGCUGGGAAGGUGUGCCGAGACUCGGAGAAGCUAGGAUGUGUUCUUGGGGGGGAAGAGAGGGGAAAGGAGGCGGCACGGGCUGCAAACACACACUCAGAGCUUUCCUUCUUUCCCACUGUUCCUGAUGGUGGAGUCCUCCUUUCACCACUAGGAGGGAGAACUUCGCAGCUUCCCAGCUCCUCGGUGGCAAGGCUCACCUCUGGGGAUGCAGCACAGCAAGCAGUCCCCUUGAUGGCCGCCCAUUCCAGCCUAGCACAGCACUCUUAGCCAAGGAGGGACACUACGGCCUGUGAUUUCUUUCAGGAGCAUUUGGUUCAAAAUUACCCUUCUUUUUGUCUCGAAUGACUAAUGUUCAUCGUGCACCCAGAACCUGGAGUCUCUCCUCCCUGCUCUGCCCCCACAAUCUCUUUCCCCUGCCCACACCCAUCCCUCACUCAAGGGAGCAUGUGCACAGAAAACUGGGAAGAGUAAAUAAAGCCUUCCUAACAAGUUGAUGGAUACAAGACUCUGGUUCUAGGAAGGCUUAUUUGGGAGGCUCAUUGAAGUUUCAUACAAAGGAGAGGGUCUCAUUUUUUUUUAAGUUUCUAGUUAGACCACUUCUAUCCAAGAGCUUCCUUCCCUAUCCCAUGGCCCAUCUUGGUCUGGAGGUCCUGGGAUCCCAGAGCUGGCUAUGUCAUCUGAGCACAAGCUUUGGCAGGUUCUACCAGCUAGCAAUGGCCCAGGUGAGAGACUUGUGGCUCUUGGUUAGGCUAAUGUUCAAGAAGCACAUGACCAAGUUAACCACAGGAUAGAGCUUUUUUGGCCACAGAAACUCUCAAAGACCAGGCCCAGCGCAGAGGGGUCUCAACCCCCAUCGGUGGAUGGAGCGCCAACAAAAUGACAGCUCUCUGAAGGACUGAAACAGGAACGAGCCCAAAUGAGAUUAUAGGCAAGGGAAGAGCUACAUCACUGGCAGAAAGCAGGCUUCUGGUGAAGAGGAGCACUGGUUUCCAGUGAAACUCCGACUCGACAUUGGUGAAUAACAGGAAAUCAGGUAACAGCUGCUCUUUGGCUGUUCUCAUCAGCAGGCAGAUUUUGGCCUUGGAUCCUUGCUGGCGAUCUUCUGGGCCCAUUUCAACGGCCUGAGGGAGGGCCAGUCUGCAGGUACAAACAGCUUGGAGGGACACAGGUAAAUCUCUGAUGCAGAGAAAAGACUCCAAGAUUCAGCCGGAGCCAGAGCAGAAUAGAAUUCCCCCUUAUCUCAGGAUAGUGCCUCCCACUUCUAGCACCCCAAACAGCCUCUGCCUUUAAAUUGCCUCCUAAAGGUUUCUCUUUUCCUCUCCAGGAGCCAGACUUCUUCCCUCCUGGCUCACUGCUCCGUUCCAUCAGGGACUCGGCUCUCCCUACGUAGGAUCCAGGUAGGAAAAGCUGCUGUUGUGUUCAGGGUGACAUUGUACUCCAGAAGAGUUCAAUUAGCCUUAGACUUCGGCCCCUGCGAUUGGGCGGCUGUUCCAUUUCUCCUUCAUCUCCUUAAGUUCGGCUCGAUUACCAAGUGUUCUGCUCGAAGGGAUCCCCAACCUGCAAGCACUUUGGAGCGCCCCAGACCUGCUCCUUUAGCCAGUUCCAUCAUAACCCCCGCCCCCAGGAAGGUGGAGACAGCACCAAACAUCAGAGGAUAAUGGAAAAAGUGACAAGAAUAGGGAUGGGGAGACUGCAUCUAUUAUUCCCCCUCUCAAAUAACAGCAAGAAAGCAGGUUGGAAACAACAACAACAAGAGAGCGAGCCAAGGAUUUUCUGCCCUAAUAUGAGAUGGGGCUGGACUGGAGGAGGGGGGGAGAAGGGGAGGGAGGGGAGCAGGGAACGAAUCCAACCGCCCCGAUAGCCUUACAGGAGCGCUCUAGGACCAGAUGCUAAUCCCGUGCCUCAUUGGGGAAAGAAAAAAAAAAAAAAAAGCUGGGGGUGGGGGGGUGGGAGGAGAGCGCAUAAUGGAGCUUCUCGUCAGCCCCGAGAUCUCAGCACCCCCCCGGGGGGAUUCUGGAGCUUGAAACCGCUCACUCCCCCCCACACCCCAAUAACUUGGAGCGUUGUCCGCCGGUUUGGGGAGGCCGGGAUCCGGAGGGUCCCCCCCCCCAGCUGGCCAACGAUCUCAUCCGCCAAACAAUAAGCAUCCCCGAUCGCCCCCGCAGCGAAAGUUGGGGGGGGGGGUCAGGGACGAGACAGCCUGGGGAAGCUGCGGAGCUGGACGGAGCUUGCAAGAUGCCCAAAAGACAGGCGAGGGGAGCAGCGGAGGAGAAUGAAGGGGGCGCGGGAGGGAGGCAGGCAGGGAGCAGAGAGAGGACAAAGGACGGCCGGAUGAAUAAUGCAUUUGCAAGGAAGAUCAAAGCGCCGCAGAGCGAGGAAAUUUGAAAAGGAAAAAAAAUCGGAUCGGAGCUGCCCCCUCACCUUGAGGUCUGCUCCAGAGAUCUCCCCCUGACAACAGUCCUGACGCAGGCCAAAGAAGGGCGGACUCCCGGAUUAGGGACGGCGAAUGGAGCUCCAGGCUUGCUAACAACCCCUCCGGAGCUUCGAGGGCUUCCGUCUGACUCUACUCGUCCCCUAGCCCCUUCCCAAAGGAGUCCCCAGCAAAAGCAAAACCCCAAACCAAAAUAUUGGGGUCAGGUAUUCCAACUCUUCUCACUUGUGCUCCGCCGGAAGGCAGAUCUUAACUACUCGGACCCUUGUCCACCCACUGACUCUUAGACUGAUCACUCAAAUGCCUUUUGAACCCCUAGAUUUAACCUCGAUCAAGUUUUUGAUCUGAAUCAUACGGGAUAAUGUAUUGAAAGCAUUUUGCAAACCUGAGGGUUCUAUUUAUAAAAAUAAAGAUAGUUAAUAUAACCGA